UUGGUCUUCUGAUCACUCUUGCCGUUAGGUUUUGCCACAAUCGCCGAGGCAGCAGUAGACUUCCCGUGUGGCUUCAUAGUCACGGAGGAAGCGAACGUCUUCUCGUUGGUCUUCUGAUCGCUGGAGACCGCAGAGUUGUCUUUGGAUUCCAUCGAGAUAGUUACUUGAGAGAAUCUUAUGGAUUUUAAUGGAAACAUAAACUAUGGAAAGAGAUUUAUAAAUAGAGAAACGAAGAGGAAGGUGAAAGGAAUCCAUUGAUUAAGUUCAAUAAGAUGAUUGAUUAGAUCAGAUAGUGGUGAAACGGAUCUGGAGAAGAGUAACGAAAGAGGUGGAAAGGGAAAGGCAAGAGAAGAAGAAGAUACGACAGUCGGCUGAGAAGAAAGAAACGAUACUUUGGAAAAUUGUUGGUGAUGACCUGGGCUUAAAAUAUUUUUAAAAGCCCACUAAAUCAGAUUAGUUUUUAUGACCCAAACACAUAUUCAAAAACUCGUAUUUCUCUAAUGAAAUCUCUAAUGAAAAUAUACAAAAACGUUUGUGACGUGGAGUAACCAAGCUGUGGGAUUGGCUAUAAUUAACUGUCCUACGUGGACACCUUAGAAUGCCAUGAUAUCUUGCUUUUAGUAGUGUUAGAUAAAAGGGUUUGAAUCCCUCCUAGGGUGUCCACCUAGGAUUCCACCUCACUGAUUCGUCUACCUAGGAUUCCACCUCACUGAUUCGUGCAUCCUGGAGCUGCCAUGUGUCCCUCUCCUAAAUACGCUGCGUUUCAUUAAUUGUUGCAUGAUAUGACUGGGCUUAAUUUGGUUUGUGGGCUUCAUUUGUUGCUUAAUCAACUUAGCCGAUCGCGAGAAACCUAAGCCUCUCAAUCUGGGUCGCAUCAAAUUUUAGGAGUUCACUGUAUUCUUUCUUCUUCGUUAUCUAAACCGCCAUUGGAGUACCCAGGAGAUUUCUGCGAAAUGAAUCUUUAUGGCGACUCUCUGGAUCGAGCAGAUUUUGUGACGUUUAGUAUGAGUUUCUUCUUCUCUAACCCGUUACGAACUUCAAAAGGGUUAAUGGUCCGUAAUAAACAUUGCUUCAUUCGUUUUUUUUGUUUGAGGUGGCCUCCUUCACUAACCAUCAAUCUAUAGUUGUAAACCCUAUCUUUUCGCCAACUACCUACGGCCUUCGUCUACCUCUAACUUCUCGGUGUUGCUACCGAUUCCGAUUCUCUUAUGCGUCAACUACUUCCCACCUCUAAAGAGUCAUAAAGUUUAUCUAUUUACUGCAACAAUCCAACGACAUGAAUUUAUUUCAAUGACAUCACCUCCACCCUAUAUAUAUCAUUCAUUGUUGCUUCUCACCUUACCGAAUCACGCUAAGCAAAUUAUCAGAGGAAACGAUGGAAACCAGAUCGGCAAAAUCUCCCGGAAAUGUACUUAAACCUCUGUUCUUCAGUGAUGUUAUGCUGGUUUGGGACCGUCUGAGCUACGCUUUUGAUUGAAAUAUGUUCUGGGAAGCAAGGAAAACAACAAAAGGUUGUGUUGUCCAGCGUUUCAUUUCUUCAAACCGUGUAGCCCGUUACGAAGAUCACUUAAAGCGUGGAAAGACCUACAGUCGUUGCUUCAGGGUGUAUCAAGAAAGUUGUCUGGUGAUAUUUAUAUGAUCGACGGUGAAGAGUUUUGGCUUGGAUGAUUUCUGCCCAGGUUUGACUCGGAACGAGUUUGAUCUCUAUAUGAAGGAAUAAGACAAAUUUUAUAUCAAUUUGAGUGGUGCUAAUUAUCUAUAAUAUUAAAAUAUAUUGGUGGGCUUGAAUCAGCUGUUGAGAUAACGCACUGAGACGAACUAGACUCGAGGCUACGAAGGAGAAGGAGAUGGCGGUUAAAAGGUGGGGUGGUGUGAGUUGUUCUACCAAGUCAUGAGUCAUCCCGAUUGGAAUUUGAGUUCAAGACUGUAAUCUGUAAAUGUAAAUAAGGAGAAGAACAUUUUGUCUGAUGAAAAGAAAGAUAAUGUGAGCUGACUUUUUGACUCAAGAAAAAAUGAAAUUCAUGGAAUAAUAUAACUCAUAAUAUAUAUAUAUAUAUAUAUUUUUUCUAUAAAUAGUUAAAAAAUAAUAAGCAGAAAAAUAGUGAUAUCUGCUUAUGAUUUUUUAACGUAUAACAAAGUCAACGAAAAAACAAGGUCAAUGAAAACUAUGAUACGCUUUGUUAAAUAUAUAAUUAAUUAAUCAAAUAUAAGAAAACUAAUGUUAAAUAUAUAUAUUAACAAUCCCUACUAUUUAAAAUCUUUAAUGGGUUAUUCGGAUAACAUGAUUAUUUAGUAUUAAAUGUUAUAACAUAUAAAAUAUUUAGUGGUGUACGUUUUAAAUGAUAACAGCAAAAGAAAAGUACCACUCAAUAUUAGGUUUUUGUGGUGUUUACUUAAUUUAGAUAUUUUUCUAUUUCACAAAAACGAAUAAUAGUACUUUUAGUUUUAAAAUAAAUUCAUUUACACAUUAUCUAAACUACUAUUUUCGGAAAAAUAAACUAGGGCUGUUAUAUAUGGUAAAACCGAACCGUACCGAACCGAACCGAACCAAAAUAGAUAAUAUAGUUUGGUUUUGGUAUAUACCAUAUAAACCAAAUGGAUAUAAUUUUAUAAAAACCAUAGGAUUUGGAUAUGGUUUGGUAUAUAACCGAUUAAACCGAAUAAACCGAACUAAACCGAUUAAAAGUAGAAACAUGUAAAUAUGUAUCUAUUUUAUAACAAUACAUGAAAAUCUAUUUGUUACAUAAGUUAAAUUUGUGUUAAUAACUAUUACCAUAAUUUUAUAGUAAUAAAGAACCUUAAUUUGUAAAACACUUGAACUAUAAUUAAAUAACAAUACAUUGCAAUUUAGACAUCUUAUUUUCGAAGUCUUUUUUGAUCUUUUUGCUUUAUUUUAGUCUUCACUAAAUUAAUAUGAUGAUUAUAAAUUUGAUGGACAAUAAAUAAUGGAAAAUUUUCACAAUUU